GGCAUUCCCCUAGUAACUGCGAGUGAAGCGGGAAAAGCUCAAAUUUAAAAUCUGGCAGUCUUUGGCUGUCCGAGUUGUAGUCUGGAGAAGCGUCUUCCGCGCUGGACCGUGUACAAGUCUCCUGGAACGGAGCGUCAUAGAGGGUGAGAAUCCCGUCUUUGACACGGACUACCAGUGCUCUGUGAUGCGCUCUCAAAGAGUCGAGUUGUUUGGGAAUGCAGCUCAAAAUGGGUGGUAAACUCCAUCUAAAGCUAAAUAUUGGCGAGAGACCGAUAGCGAACAAGUACCGUGAGGGAAAGAUGAAAAGCACUUUGGAAAGAGAGUUAAACAGUACGUGAAAUUGCUGAAAGGGAAACGCUUGAAGUCAGUCGCGUUUGCUAGGACUCAGCCUUGCCUCGGCGUGGUGCAUUUCCUAGUAGACGGGCCAGCAUCACUUUUGGCUGCGGGAAAAAGGUCAGAGAAAUGUGGCACCUUUUGGUGUGUUAUAGUCUCUGGCUGUAUACCGUGGCUGGGAGUGAGGAACUCAGCAUGCCUUUAUGGCGGGGCUUCGGCUACCUUCAUGCUUAGGAUGCUGGCGUAAUGGCUUUAAACGACCCGUCUUGAAACACGGACCAAGGAGUCUAACAUGCCUGCGAGUGUUUGGGUGGAAAACCCGAGCGCGCAAUGAAAGUGAAAGUUGGGACCUCUGUCGUGGAGGGCACCGACGCCCGGACCAGACCUUCGGUGACGGAUCUGCGGUAGAGCAUGUAUGUUGGGACCCGAAAGAUGGUGAACUAUGCCUGAAUAGGGUGAAGCCAGAGGAAACUCUGGUGGAGGCUCGUAGCGAUUCUGACGUGCAAAUCGAUCGUCAAAUUUGGGUAUAGGGGCGAAAGACUAAUCGAACCAUCUAGUAGCUGGUUCCUGCCGA
rnacentral:rRNA from 1 species